rnacentral:lncRNA from 1 species
GCUUCCACAGCAUGCCACCUGUACCUCCAUAGUGGUUGCCAAGGUUAGCUCCAUGACCAAGAUCUACGGAGGGCAGCAGAGAAACUUACUCAGGUCUAGCUACUUUAGCAAAGGCUCCAAGAGUGUGGCCCAUGUGGCCCACUGAGUCCUCCAAGCUCUGGAUGGGUUGAAAACUGUGGAAAAGGACCAAGAUGGGGGUGGCAAGCUAACAGCUCAGGGACAGAGAGAAGAGAUCUGGACAGGUGGCAGCUGCCAACAAGAAGCAUUAG